rnacentral:rRNA from 1 species
UACGGAGGGAGCUAGCGUUGUUCGGAAUUACUGGGCGUAAAGCGCACGUAGGCGGAUCUUUAAGUCAGAGGUGAAAUCCCAAGGCUCAACCUUGGAACUGCCUCUGAUACUGGGGAUCUCGAGUCCGGGGGAGGUGAGUGGAACUGCGAGUGUAGAGGUGAAAUUCGUAGAUAUUCGCAAGAACACCAGUGGCGAAGGCGGCUCACUGGCCCGGUACUGACGCUGAGGAGCGAAAGCGUGGGGAGCAAACAGG